AACCAACCCUGGUUAAGGGAAGGGAGUCCACAAGGGCGUGAGUUGCAGGGAUAGGAUCGCGGGAGGCCGUCUUGGAAGCCGCCACUCGCGGGGAGGAAAUCGCAUAGGGCUGCUGAAACAAGCAUCACAAACCACAUGGCUUGAAACAACAGAGAUAUCUCCCUCAUCUCACCAUUUUGGAGGCUGAAGUCCGAAAUCAAGCUCCCAACAUGUGUGGGGGACGUGGUGGACCCAAUCAACCAGAAUGCACACUGAGGCCCCUUCGGCUCAGAGUCUGAGGCUCUGGGUGUCCACUGUUCUAAGUUCAGACAUGAGUCAGCUUCGGGCAACUAAGGAGCCCAAGAGAGACUGAUGAGAAGGAGGUUCCAGAUCAUUAUUAAACAGAUAAGAAGCGUGUCCUUUGGAAACAUGAUUCGUGUACAUUCUUGGCAAAGCAGGGGCUGUUUUAUUUUGCUUGUCAAAGUCAUCCUUUUUGUCCUCAUUUUUAUUUAUUGAAUGAUUGCUGGUCAAAAGUUUUCUAAGCUGAAUUCCCAUCCUGUUACCCAUAAAAUUGCAUAAAGUGAGAUGCUAGAGUUAAAAAAAAAAAUAACUGUCACAUCACAACUGAUAUUAGAGAUUGGCGAGGCUGCCAGCUGGAGCAGACUAACAAGGAAAAUCAAGACUCCUCUCUCCAUCUUUGUCCUUCAGGCUAAAAAAGGCAAGAUAAGAAGAGAGAACGUUCUGUAAUGAGUAAGGGUGGCUGCGCCUCGUGAUGGGUCAGCCCUGUGUGUCUGGAGGAGGACUCUCUUUGAGGCC